rnacentral:rRNA from 2 species
CGCGGAUCAGCAUGCCGCGGUGAAUACGUUCCCGGGCCUUGUACACACCGCCCGUCACACCACGAGAGCUUGCAACACCCGAAGUCGGUGAGGUAACCCGCAAGGGAGCCAGCCGCCGAAGGUGGGGCAAGUGAUUGGGGUGAAGUCGUAACAAGGUAGCCGUACCGGAAGGUGCGGCUGGAUCACCUCCUUUCUAAGGA